rnacentral:rRNA from 1 species
UACGUAGGGUGCAAGCGUUAAUCGGAAUUACUGGGCGUAAAGCGUGCGCAGGCGGUUUUGUAAGUCUGGCGUGAAAUCCCCGGGCUUAACCUGGGAAUUGCGAUGGAGACUGCAAGGCUAGAAUCUGGCAGAGGGGGGUAGAAUUCCACGUGUAGCAGUGAAAUGCGUAGAGAUGUGGAGGAACACCGAUGGCGAAGGCAGCCCCCUGGGUCAAGAUUGACGCUCAUGCACGAAAGCGUGGGGAGCAAACAGG